rnacentral:rRNA from 1 species
GAUGAACGCUAGCUACAGGCUUAACACAUGCAAGUCGAGGGGCAGCAUGACGAUAGCUUGCUAUUGUUGAUGGCGACCGGCGCACGGGUGAGUAACGCGUAUCCAACCUGCCCUUGUCCAUCGGAUAACCCGUCGAAAGGCGGCCUAACACGAUAUGCAGUUCUCCGCAGGCAUCUAACGAGAACGAAAUGUGAAGGAGAAGGAUGGGGAUGCGUCUGAUUAGCUUGUUGGCGGGGUAACGGCCCACCAAGGCGACGAUCAGUAGGGGUUCUGAGAGGAAGGUCCCCCACAUUGGAACUGAGACACGGUCCAAACUCCUACGGGAGGCAGCAGUGAGGAAUAUUGGUCAAUGGGCGAGAGCCUGAACCAGCCAAGUAGCGUGCAGGAUGACGGCCCUAUGGGUUGUAAACUGCUUUUAUGCGGGGAUAAAGUGAGCCACGUGUGGCUUAUUGCAGGUACCGCAUGAAUAAGGACCGGCUAAUUCCGUGCCAGCAGCCGCGGUAAUACGGAAGGUCCGGGCGUUAUCCGGAUUUAUUGGGUUUAAAGGGAGCGUAGGCCGUCUGGUAAGCGUGUUGUGAAAUGUCGGGGCUCAACCUGGGCAUUGCAGCGCGAACUGUCAGACUUGAGUGCGCGGGAAGUAGGCGGAAUUCGUCGUGUAGCGGUGAAAUGCUUAGAUAUGACGAAGAACUCCGAUUGCGAAGGCAGCCUGCUGUAGCGCAACUGACGCUGAAGCUCGAAAGCGUGGGUAUCGAACAGGAUUAGAUACCCUGGUAGUCCACGCGGUAAACGAUGGAUGCUCGCUGUUUGCGUCUGACGUAAGCGGCCAAGCGAAAGCGUUAAGCAUCCCACCUGGGGAGUACGCCGGCAACGGUGAAACUCAAAUGAAUUGACGG